AUAUGCGGCUUACUGGUAGAGUACAGACCUCUUGAGUCUGUGGUCAUUGGUUCGAUUCCGAGCGUGCAUC